UGUUCGGAAUUACUGGGCGUAAAGCGCACGUAGGCGGGUUCUUAAGUCGGAGGUGAAAUCCUGGAGCUCAACUCCAGAACUGCCUUCGAAACUGGGAAUCUUGAAUCCGGGAGAGGUGAGUGGAAUUCCGAGUGUAGAGGUGAAAUUCGUAGAUAUUCGGAAGAACACCAGUGGCGAAGGCGGCUCACUGGACCGGUAUUGACGCUGAGGUGCGAAAGCGUGGGGAGCAAACAGG
rnacentral:rRNA from 1 species